UGCCAGCAGCCGCGGUAAUACGGGGGGUGCAAGCGUUAAUCGGAAUUACUGGGCGUAAAGCGCGCGUAGGCGGUUUGUUAAGUCAGAUGUGAAAGCCCUGGGCUCAACCUGGGAAUUGCAUUUGAUACUGGCAGACUAGAGUAUGGUAGAGGGAAGUGGAAUUCCGGGUGUAGCGGUGAAAUGCGUAGAUAUCCGGAGGAACAUCAGUGGCGAAGGCGGCUAACUGAACCGGAACUGACGCUGAGGCACGAAAGCGUGGGGGGCAAACAGGAUUAGAUA
rnacentral:rRNA from 1 species